AAGUUGUUGCAGUUAAAAAGCUCGUAGUUGAAGGUUUAACGCUUGCUGUGCGGCCGCUUGAUUGCGGUGCGUGCGGCGUGUGUUUUAGCUUGGGUGUGUUUGUGCACCCAUUGUUUACCGUGAGAAAAUCAGAGUGUUCAAAGCAGGCUAUGUGCUUGAAUACGUCAGCAUGGGAUAAUGAUUUAGGACCCUGGUGGUCUUUGCAUUGUUGGUUGCGUGCCGGGAGUAAUGAUUAAUAGGGAUGACUGGGGGCACUCGUACUCACAGGCCAGAGGUGAAAUUCUAAGACUCUGUGAUGACGGCCGACUGCGAAAGCAUGUUGCCCAGGGCGUUUUCAUUAAUCAAGAACGAAAGUCAGGGGAUUGAAGAGGAUUAGAUACCCUCGUAAUCUUGACCAUAAACUAUGCCGACUCAGGAUUGGUGGAUGGCGUGUUUUUUGCCUUCACCAGCACUGUAUGAGAAAUCAAAGUCUUUGGGUUCCGGGGGGAGUAUGGUCGCAAGGCUGAAACUUAAAGGAAUUGACGGAAGGGCACCACCAGGAGUGGAGCCUGCGGCUUAAUUUGACUCAACACGGGGAAACUCACCAGGUCCGGACAUACGUAGGAUUGACAGAUUGACCGCUCUUUCAUGAUUGUAUGGUUGGUGGUGCAUGGCCGUUCUUAGUUCGUGGAGUGAUUUGUCUGGUUAAUUCCGUUAACGAACGAGACCUCCGCCUGCUAACUAGGUGGCCGCUGUGUGCAGCGGUGCACCUUCUUAGAGGGACUGCGGGCGUUUAGUCCGUGGAAGUUGGAGGCAAUAACAGGUCUGUGAUGCCCUUCGAUGUUCUGGGCCGCACGCGCGCUACACUGGUCGGUGCAACGAGUGUAUUUGUUUGUCCGACAGGCCUGACAAAUCUGUGAAGCCCGACCGUGCUUGGGAUAGAUUCUUGCAAUUUUUGAUCUUGAACGAGGAAUUCCUAGUAAACGCAAGUCAUCAGCUUGCAUUGAUUACGUCCCUGCCCUUUGUACACACCGCCCGUCGCACCUACCGAUUGGGUGGUCCGGUGAAACACCAGGAUUGGGACGCAGUCCGUAAGGGUUGUGUCCUGAGAAUGGAGGUGAACCUUGCCAUCUAGAGGAAGGUGAAGUCGUAACAAG
rnacentral:rRNA from 1 species